rnacentral:tRNA from 1 species
GGGCCAUUAGCUCAGUUGGUUAGAGCGCACCCCUGAUAAGGGUGAGGUCACUGGUUCGUGUCCAGUAUGGCCCACUU